CAUCUUCAUCUGAGCUAUCUGAAAUCAUAUUUCGGCCAAUUUGAAUCUCAUCUGCAAAACUAGCUACUCCAUCCCCUACUUCAUAGUCAAAACACUCUAAUGGAUCUUAUACCUCUCUUUUUUUCUAAGCUGUCUUCUUAGAUGGAUUCUUAGAUUUUUUCUCUUUCUUCCUUCUUCCACUUUCCUCAAUCUCCUCUUCACUUUCAGAUUCUUCUUCAACCUCAAUUAACGAUACGAUUGAUAUAACCCUGUUUUUCCUGAUUUUAACUACGUUUUAGAUUUAGGAUUUUGAGUCUUUAUGUUAUUUCUCGAGUCUUUUUAGAGUCUUUUCAGGUAUUCUAUGCAGUGGGACAACAAUGGUGAUGAGGAGACAUUUUGGAGCAAAAGCUAAGGAGAAGGAAGCUAAGGACGAUUUCAGUUCCAGAUUCAGUGAGAGUGUCGAUCGACACAAAGGAGUGUGUUUUAUAGGGCAUAUAUAGUUUUAGUCCCUGAACGUUUUAUAGGGCAUAUAUAUAGUUUUAGAGGUCAUUGUUUAGACCAAAUUUCUUUUCUACCAAGUUUUCAGAGAGACAUAAGCUAUUCAUCCAUAUUUUCAUAGAUUCAUUUAGUUUCCAAUACAGUGAAGAGAUCCUUUCAUACUAUAAUCUUAUUUGCUGUGUUUAUACUUUCUUACUCA
rnacentral:sRNA from 1 species